UACAGAGGGUGCGAGCGUUGUCCGGAAUCACUGGGCGUAAAGGGUGCGUAGGUGGCUCGUUAAGCGUGUGGUGAAAGCCUGGGGCUCAACCCCAGGUCUGCCAUGCGAACUGGCGAGCUCGAGCAUAGUAGAGGCGGGUGGAAUUCCGGGUGUAGCGGUGGAAUGCGUAGAUAUCCGGAAGAACACCGGUGGCGAAGGCGGCCCGCUGGGCUAUUGCUGACACUGAUGCACGACAGCGUGGGGAGCAAACAGG
rnacentral:rRNA from 1 species